rnacentral:rRNA from 1 species
CAAGUCUGGUGCCAGCAGCCGCGGUAAUUCCAGCUCCAAUAGCGUAUAUUAAAGUUGUUGACAGUUAAAAAGCUCGUAGUUGGACUUCAAGAAGCGCAUCUGGGCAACCAGUUUGCCUUCUACCAGCCCUAGGCUGUUACUGUGAGAAAAUUAGAGUGUUUCAAGCAGGCUUUUGCAGGAAUACAUUAGCAUGGAAUAACGAAUGUGUCUACAAUUUGGUUGAUUGUAGGUUACAAUUAAUAGGGACAGUUGGGGGCAUUAGUAUUUAAUAGUCAGAGGUGAAAUUCUUGGAUUUGUUAAAGACUAACGUAUGCGAAAGCAUUUGCCAAGGAUGUUUUCAUUAAUCAAGAACGAAAGAUAGGGGAUCAAAGACGAUCAGAUACCGUCGUAGUCCUAUCUAUAAACUAUGCCGACUAGGGAUUAGUGCGGUCAGUACCGCAUUAGUACCUUAUGAGAAAUCAAAGUCUUUGGGUUCUGGGG